rnacentral:lncRNA from 1 species
ACGAGACUUCGUCUCAAAUAAAAAUAAAAAUAAAAAAUAAAAGAUCAACACGCAUACUUGUUAGGUUAAUCAAUAGCUCCGCCUUCUCCUGGACCUUAGAACGCAGAAGCAGCCCCGUGGGGCAUGGCAUCAUAGCCCAGCCAAGAGUUGGAUUUGUACCUAGUUUUUCCUCUUUGCUAUCGCCUUAUCCACACGUGUUGAAACUCACUCGCAUGUUUGCUGAGUUCUGUGCUCACCAUUUCGUUCCUACAUCUCAAUUUCUCUUCUAUGUUCUGUUAUCUU